AAUCAACGCUGGCGGCGUGCCUCAGACAUGCAAGUCGAACGAUUAAGACUCUCUUCGGAGAGUGCAUAAAGUGGCGCACGGGUGAGUAACACGUAAGUAAUCUACCCUCGAGUGGGGAAUAACGUCCGGAAACGGACGCUAAUACCGCAUAAUGCAGCGGCACCGCAAGGUGACAGUUGUUAAAGAUUUAUCGCUUGAGGAGGAGCUUGCGGCAGAUUAGCUAGUUGGUAAGGUAAUGGCUUACCAAGGCUACGAUCUGUAACCGGUCUAAGAGGACGGUCGGUCACACUGACACUGAAUAACGGGUCAGACUCCUACGGGAGGCAGCAGUCGGG
rnacentral:rRNA from 1 species